GCGGUGGUAGCUCAGUUGGACAGAGCGCCGGCCUGUCACGCCGGAUGCCGCGGGUUCAAGUCCCGUCCGCCGCGCCA
rnacentral:tRNA from 1 species